AAUCAACAUAGUUCUCCAUCCUGGCCCCUCUUUCACAUGAUGGAGAAAAAGCAAUCGGAAGUUAAUUUUUGGAACAAGAUAAUCAACAGUUCACUGCAUAAUAUAUAGCAGAUGCAACCUGGCUCACUCUUUUGAAUGAGUAAUCAGAGAAUCUUGCAUAACAUUUUGACACCUUGAAAAUAUGGCUGUUUUUUUCCUGGAGCUUGGAUGAAUCUGGUCUUCAGGAAGUAUCGUAGUCUCCCUUUGGAAAUGGGCUACUCUAGGUCUGCAAUCUGUUCUUUAUUUCCUCACCCUAAGAAAAUGUGUUCACCAUGUUCAUGCUUAAAUACUGCUCAUAUCACUUUUUCACAAUCCUUCUGUCUUCACUCUGAGAAUAUACUGACUACUUCCCGACUUUCUGGAACAUAGGCUUGAGCAAGCUCCCCAAAAGAACAAUAAAUACUUGGAUUCAUCAAGAUGAACACUCUAACAUAAAACUUAUUCUCAGGUUUCAAGUUUUGUUUUUCUGAGUUUUGGUGGCACAUUAUAAACCCAGGUGAACAACAUGAAGAGAAGACAACACAUACAUGUCCCAAAUGGGAGAAUUCAUCAAUAAACGGGGUGAGUUGGUUUUCAACUUAUGCCCAUCGGCCUCCGGACUCAGUGGGAAGUCAUGUGUGAAGGAUGCUCUCCAGCCCCAUAGCUGCCCAUGGGAAUCAUCGUAAAGCAGUCUGCCAGAAGGAAUGUGUGAGCAAAUGACAAACGGUACCUGACUCCAGGGGAAAAUAGACUUGGGGAAGCUUUUAAUGCCAAGCUUUAUAAUGUUUAGGAUGAAAUACUGCAUCAGAUUUCUCAUGAGGAUGGAAAUGACCUCAGAUCAGUUUAACAAAGCAUUCUCCAGCAGAAGAGAACAUGCUUGAAUAGAAAAAGAAAAUAACGUAGUACUUAAAGCGUAAAGAGGGCUUCCUUUUCUACCUAUUGCCUGACUCUCCCCACUCUUUCAUCCUGACUCCCAUUCUAUAACUCCCAGUCAUGCUCACUUUUAAAAAGUCCCUCUAAGUGGAUUUUCUGAGUUGGUCCUGAGGGCAAGUAUCCUGCCCCAUUGAACUCAGAAGUACCUUCAUGAUUGUCAGGCCAUGUAUCCCACUUGGUUUUGGUUCAGAAAACAUGGGCAUCAUGUUUACAUCUAGUCAGUCAUCAGUUCCUGCCUUUCCUAUUUUUUAGGCAUAGCUCAUCUCUACCCAUCCUCUUUGUUCUCUUUGCCACCAUCUUAGCCGAGCUCAUUUUCAGACUCAAUUAAUGCCGUGAUUUUCUUACUAUUUCUAUCUGGAUUGAUGGAAAUAGAAAGGGUGAGACGAAUGCAAGAGGUAUUUUCCAGGCAAAAUUUAGAUGACCCUGGAAUAUGAUACAGAGAUGAGUGAAGGCAUCAGUGAUUAUUCUUAAGGGGGUGGCCUGCCUAGAAGAACCUGAGCAUUUAGCCCCAUGUGACAUUUCCCACCCUAUGUCCAGUUCCCAAAUAAAAACAAAUACACAAACAAAGAACCUGAGUGACUGCAUCAGGCUGGCCGCCUUCCAUCAGGAUGUAGAAAGGAAUCCUACUUUCGAUGACUAAAGGCACAAUACUGGCAUUUUAGUUGCUUAAUUUAAUUUAAUCCCUUAAUUUGAUCCAAGACUCUGAUUCUAAGGAUCUCCCCACUAUUGCAGCUUGCCUUGACAUCCACAUACGGUGUCCUCUAUAGCAUUCCUCUUUAUUUUGACAUGAAAGCCUAUACAAAAUAAAGUAGGACUAGUUAAAUUUAAAGUAACUUCCAGUUCCUAAAGUCUGUGAAUUUUUGUCUUAAAUUUUUAGGAAAUAAUGAUUCUCUAUCUAAUCUAUCUUUUGUAUUUCCUCUUUAUUUGAUGAUUUCAGAAUUGAGAUCUUUUGAUGUCUUUUGUUUUUUCUUAUGUUUCAUGAAUUGGUAUGAUAAGGGAACAGAGGAAUACUCAAUAAAUAUUAUCGAUGAGACUUUUAAUAAUGAGGAAAGACAGAUGCUGAAUAUUCAUUACUUAUUGAUUUUUAAAGUUACCUAGGUAAAUGAGUGGACUUGAUGUUACUUCUCCCUGUUUGUGAUUUUCUUUUGCUAUGUAGAGAAGAUGCUGUUUCAUAUAUUCAGUUAAAAAAUGUGCAUAGGGAAAGGAGAAAAAUCAUGUCUUAAGGCUUAAGUGUAUUCCAGAAUCCAUCUUCCCCUGGUUGUUUAUGUGGCUGAGGUUGAUGACCCUGAAAUUAGAACAGAUUAGGUUUCCUUGGCUUCAAUCAUCUUUUAUAUGAGGAGAGUGUUUUCAAAAUAGCUCAAUCAGGAGAAAACAUGACUGAGAAGCCAGCUCAUUUUACUGCCUCACUAUACAGCGAUGCACUUUAAGAAAAGUGAAUCAUUUUUCUAUGGAGUUUACUUUUUCCAUUGUAGAAGUAAUACACACUCAUUACAAAAAGUUCAGAAAUAUAAAAUAGAAGGAGUGAAAAUUUUUCCCAUAUUACAGAUACUCAAAGGUAACUAAGGUCACCCUUUCAGUUGGUAACUAUCCAGCCCCCUUUAAUAUACGAUUUUGAGUACCUGUUUUUUAGCAACUUUUUAAUGGCUUCAUAAUACUACAUUUAAUUGCUACAAUGUAACCUCUGCAACAUAAAUUAUUUAUUGGGCAUCCAGGUGAUAUUCAAUUUUUCAUUUUCUUAGAAUAUGCUAUAAUGAGCAUCUUUGAGCUUUUCCAGUAAUUAGGAUUAAUUUCUUAGAAUAGAUUAUGCAAAGUGAAUGUUUUUAAGGCUCAUAAUUUUGCCAAAUUAAUUUAAAAAACUUUUAUCAGUGUAUGAGUGUCUUUUUCAUCUCCCAUUUAUCAGUGCAGAAUCUCCUUAAUUAAAAAGAGACUAAUUUUAUAGGCAAAAAUUGGGUUUAAUUUAGUUUUCUUUGAUUUCUAGUGAGGCUAACAAUUUUCUAAUGCUCAUUAUUGUUCACUUGUUGAGUGUUCUCUUUGUGAAUUAUUUGUGUGUGUCUUUGGUCACUUAUCUAUUGCAAUUUCAGUGUUUUUAUUUUUUUUUAACAGAAUUAAUUUGGUAGAUUCUUCACAUCUUGAACAUUAAUCUUUGUUACAUGUAUUUUGAAUUUUUCCUCUUAUUUCCUUUUUUAUUGGGGCUAUUUUUAAUUAACAUGAAAUAUUUUAAACUUUCAUAGAGCAAAAUCACAAUUCCCCAACUUUCUUGGUAAUUAAAAAUUCUAGGCUCUACUUAAAAAUUUGCAUUUCUAUGUAAACACUGCCCUCCAUACCUCUGCUCUGAUUCCCUGGAGAGUUAAAAAAGAGUAUGAUUAACACUGUUAUGGGAAAUACAAACCUUGAGGAAACUUUUAGAAAAAUAUUUAUCCAUAUUUUGUUAUAUAAUUAAAGUUAAAUCAUCUAGAAAAUAAUUUGUGAUUUAACUUUUUAUUUCUCCCACUGAGUCUUGGUUUCACAAUGUUUUAUAUAUAGAAAUUAUGUUUAGAGCAGUGGUCUUUAAUCUGGGGGAUUUGCCUCCAAUGGAUGUUUGGCAGUGUCUUGAGACAUUUGUGAUGGCUACAGCUGAGUGGGCAGUGGUGGCGGGGGAUGCUACCGGUGUCCGGCAGGUAGAAAACAGGAUGCUGCUAAACAUCCUACAGGGCAUAGGAGCAUCCGCAACAAGUCAUUAACCAGCCAAACAUGUCAACAGUGCUGCUGUGGGGGAAGUCCCGCUACAGUGUUAGUGCCAGCCAGAAGGAUGAUUUCUACUAUAUAAAUGGAAGAGAAACUUAAUGUCAAAUAAAGUUCCUUUUUAUUUC